ACAAGCGGUGGAGUAUGUGGUUUAAUUCGACGCAACGCGCAGAACCUUACCUAGACUUGACAUCCCGGGGAUUUUCUGGAAACAGAGAAGUGCUUUAGCAAUAAAGAACCCGGUGACAGGUGCUGCAUGGCUGUCGUCAGCUCGUGUCGUGAGAUGUUGGGUUAAGUCCCGUAACGAGCGCAACCCUUGUCCUUAGUUACCAGCACGUAAUGGUGGGCACUCUAAGGAGACUGCCGGUGACAAACCGGAGGAAGGUGGGGAUGACGUCAAAUCAUCAUGCCCCUUAUGUUCUGGGCUACACACGUGCUACAAUGGCCGGUACAGACGGACGCAAAGCCGCGAGGUGGAGCAAAUCCUAAAAAGCCGGUCUCAGUUCGGAUUGCAGGCUGCAAUUCGCCUGCAUGAAGUCGGAAUCGCUAGUAAUCGCAGGUCAGCAUACUGCGGUGAAUACGUUCCCGGGCCUU
rnacentral:rRNA from 1 species